rnacentral:sRNA from 1 species
UUGUAUGCGUUAAGGAUUGCAGCGGCAUCCUUUUUGUAAAGCUUAUAAAUGAGAGUUUUUGUAAGAAAAGUAUUGUUUAUAAAUGAAAUUACUUUUAGUUGAUUUCUAUCUGAUUUACAAAAAGAUACAGCGGAAAGCCUGACGCACU